rnacentral:rRNA from 1 species
CAAGUACCAUGAGGGAAAGAUGAAAAGGACUUUGAAAAGAGAGUUAAAAGUGCCUGAAAUUGCUGAAAGGGAAGCGAAUGGAACCAGUGCUCUUGGCGAGAUUGUUGUGCGCUAUGGUGAUUGCGGGCUGCUUCAGCGCAAGCGUUGCAGCUUGUAUUGAGCUUGACGCGCGCAGUGUUUCUUACCUUGUGCGUCAUCGUCGGUUCACAGGCGAGGAUACUUCUGAGGACAUGGUAGCUCUUCUACGGAGGUGUGAAUGUCUUUGGUAAUACUCGCUCGUAGACCGCUUUCCUUCGGGUACGAUGACUAAAUGGUUCUAUUCGACCCGUC